CCAACAGGGAUUGCCUUAGUAACGGCGAGUGAAGCGGCAAAAGCUCAAAUUUGAAAUCUAACGCCUCUGGUGUUCGAGUUGUAAUUUGGAGAGGCAUCUUCCGGAGUGGCCCAGCCUAUGUACCUUGGAACAGGACGUCAUAGAGGGUGAGAAUCCCGUUCUUGGCUGGAUGUUCACUCCCGUAUGUAGUGUCUUCUACGAGUCGAGUUGUUUGGGAAUGCAGCUCAAAAUGGGUGGUAAAUUUCAUCUAAAGCUAAAUAUUGGCGAGAGACCGAUAGCGCACAAGUAGAGUGAUCGAAAGAUGAAAAGCACUUUGAAAAUAGAGUCAAACAGUACGUGAAAUUGUUGAAAGGGAAGCGCUUGAGACCAGAGUCAGCCUUUGACAAACAAUUGUCCUUCUGGGCGGUGCACUUGUCAUUGGUUGGGCCAGCAUCGGUUGGGACGGUGGGAUAAACGCUUGGGAAAUGUGACUCCUUUAUGGAGUGUUAUAGUCCCAGGUGCCAU
rnacentral:rRNA from 1 species